CGUACCACGUGGGCCAGGCGCCCCGCAGCCUGAUCCCUCGGCUGAGGCGGGGUCAGAGGGCUAAGGGUGACUGACUGCCCAGUGCAUGGAUCUCAGCAGCACGGCUUGACUUUCGGGCGGCAGGCAAGGAUGCUAAUCCACAAGGUUCCUGAGUCCAACAUCCCUCCCUCCAAUGUGGGGCUCGAAUCCGCUAUUGCAACCAAACCCGGGUUCUGCCCGCAGGGUGGCGCAAUGACAAGAGCCACCAGGUGACCCUGGUAACUCCCGCACCUAGACCUGGAAAAGGCCAGUCCUGUGCAGUGUGGCCUUAGGGCAUCUACAGCUCUGGACAGAGGGAGAAGGUCCAAGUCCCUGCUUCCUGCUGAGGGGACGGCUAAGGAAGAGAAACUACCUUAAUGACCUACAGGAGCAGUUUUUCUGCAGCACCACAUCUGUAGCCCUGCAUGCCGCUGGCUCCAGUGUUGUGUGUGUGGUCAUGCUCCAUCCAGCCCAGCAGCAACUUUGGUGUUUGACACCCCUCGGGAGGCACCGCUUUGGAAGAGACUGGUGUGUGCGGAGCCCAAGAUGUGUUGGGAACAGCUAUCGUUUCUACUGCUUUGUCCCAUGCCUCUGGAGCUCCUGGGUUCCUGAACUUCAAGCUGGGCCCCAUCCUUCACCCUAUCAGGGCCCUGGGUGGAGCUGACUUCCAACAGUAUACAGUGGGUCUUGGUACUUCCUCCUUGGCAUUCGACAGUUGGUGUUUUUGAAGUCAGAGCCAUCCUCAGUAGGCUCCUAGGGGAUCGUAAGCGGCUUUCUCUGGGUGGAAACCUACUCCAUGCAGCCUUCAGCAAAGGAUCCUACGGCUGUUGAUCCCCUCGGAAGUGAGACAUAAUGUCCCGGAGCAGAUGCUGAUGGGGACUCACUGUUGGGCCACCUGAUUUCUGUGUUCAUCUUCCCAGGCUCCACCUUUCAGAUCCCAUCCCUGGUGUCUGCAGUUACAACUUUACUAACCAGAACUUUGUUUCCAGCUUACGCUGAAAAGCAAAGGGUGACUUAGAAUAAAAAUGUAACAAAUAGCCCCAUAGCCCAAACCUUUUCUGCCAUGAUUUACUGUACCAGAUACCUAUAAGUGUCCAGGGCAAAUUAAACACAUCAAUAAAUGGCUUUCUUGUGUC
rnacentral:lncRNA from 1 species